GCUGGCGGCAUGCUUAACACAUGCAAGUCGAACGCGAAAGAUUCCUUCGGGAAUCGAGUAGAGUGGCGGACGGGUGAGUAACGCGUAGGAAUCUGCCCAGUAGUGGGGGACAACUCGGGGAAACCCGAGCUAAUACCGCAUACGCCCUACGGGGGAAAGUGGGGGAUCUUCGGACCUCACGCUAUUGGAUGAGCCUGCGUCGGAUUAGCUAGUUGGUGGGGUAAAGGCCUACCAAGGCGACGAUCCGUA
rnacentral:rRNA from 1 species